rnacentral:rRNA from 1 species
UACGGAGGGUGCAAGCGUUAUCCGGAUUCACUGGGUUUAAAGGGAGCGUAGGUGGGUUGGUAAGUCAGUGGUGAAAUCCCCGAGCUUAACUUGGGAACUGCCAUUGAUACUAUCAGUCUUGAAUACUGUGGAGGUUAGCGGAAUAUGUCAUGUAGCGGUGAAAUGCUUAGAUAUGACAUAGAACACCAAUUGCGAAGGCAGCUGGCUGCACAAAUAUUGACACUGAGGCUCGAAAGCGUGGGGAUCAAACAGG